ensembl:lncRNA
AAGGCAAAAGGGUGAGUCGCCAAAUAUCUGCAUAGUUUAUCUUGAAGAUCUUUCUGACAUUAGGCAAGCCUACAGGGAGACAUUUCAGUCUUUUCGAAUGAAACAACCCCCUACCAAAGCUGGGGAAACACUGAGUGAAGGUAGCAUGGGAAAUCCGGGGUGGGAAAACUGCCUGCAUUCAGCCCCCAAAAGGCCUGAGGCUCUCUAUCUUUUUGCUAGUCGUCUUGGGAGCCUGGCCACUUACAAUUUAUAUGCCACUUUCCCAUCCAAUCUGCUCAAAGUGAUGUGCAACAGAAGAACAGUAAUCCAAAAAAGCAUGUGAACACAACGUUGCAAUCACAUCGAGAUUCCUGUUGAUUAAUGUCUCCGUGUUAAGGGCAACGGCAUCUAUUGGAAGCCACUGCUUGUAUUCAUCGUUGCCUGCUGCUGUGCUUAAGGAAAGGGGGAGAGGUUGGUGUAUCUCUCUUCCCCUUUGCUCCAAGUGUUCCUGUGGCCUAAGAGGGGUGGCACCAGGCCUGCUUGUCAUUGGCCAUAAAAAUAGUGAACAAUUUUUUUGGGGAAAAAGAGACUACCUUCUUUGUCACAGGUGUGUGAGAUGGAAGAGAACCCACUGGCGCUGCCACCCAUGGAAGAAGUGACAGUCCAGUCGAGGGCAAGCCCUGAGCCGCACGAGGCUUUCCCUGAGAAAGAAAACCUGCCUCCUUCUCAUAUCCCGGGCCCUGCCCUGUCCAGGAGAACGCGGUCCUUUGCCCCUCAGAACUUUGUCUUCAAGCCUCUGGAGGGCUUGGCUGCCUACCGAGUGAAACCGAUGAGCCCGUCCCGAGCCAACGUAUUCCUGUCGCCCAACCUCGUCUGGAGUCCUGUGAACUGCGCCAGCGGAGUCCCUGGAGAAGGGGCAGAAGAAAAUGGGCCAAAGGACUGCAGUCUGAAAUAUCAAACCUCCCCUGAGCCUAAGGAAGAUCCUCAGGAGCAUCACUUGGGGGUGGAGUCAAGUGCACCUGAGGAAGAAUGUGUUCCUCUGGAGAAGUUGGAUGUCACUCCCUCGGAAAGAGAGCCNNNNNNNNNNNNNNNNNNNNNNNNNNNNNNNNNNNNNNNNNNNNNNNNNNNNNNNNNNNNNNNNNNNNNNNNNNNNNNNNNAAAACAAGAAGCAUCAAAACUGAUAAACUACAUCUGAAUGAGAAUACCUGUCUCAAGAAUAGAGAGACGGGGUGAACCAGAAAACUGAUGUUUUGUGGCUACCCGUGAACUACAAACAAUCACAACCCUCCCAAAAAGAACCAAUUCACAGUUUGGGUUUUGGGUAUAUGCCUGGGGGAAGCGGGGACCGAUUGCCCCCUUCCCAUUACCCCUGCUGCCUCCCGACCUGUUCCCUGGAAGGGAAGCCAGCCUGCUGUCUCUGAGGAUGGUGGCGGGGGCAGGAACAGGUCAGAAAGCAGGCGACAGGGUCAGUGGGAAGAGGGCGAGCGGGCAGAUUUUUGUUUUGGCAAAACAGGAUCCCUGAACUUGGGUCGCGGGACUGAACCUUGAAACCGCCCAGUUUGUCAGUUUUUCUGGUCCGUCGUUCGGUUCUUGCCCAUCUCUACUCUAGAAUGGUUGCUCUCGUUUGUAAAGAAAAUUACAUCCUCACUAAAAGAACUCUGUAGAACAUCCUGCUUUCCCCUGAUACAAAUCUCUCAAUGCAAUCGUAUCUUAGAAGUCUGCCUCCCCACCAAACUCAGAGAGGCUUGCACUGAUUUAGGAUUGCCACCUCCAUGUGACACUCUUCCCACACUAUGGGCGAGUUGUGCCUGUCGAUCAGCUGCCAGAUCUUUCUUUUAUAGAUGUUAACCCACCGUUAAUGACUUGAUGUCAUUGGUACGUCAUGUGGGUCUUACUUUAUCUGAACUCCUAAAUGAAGGGGUUAUUCAACCUCUUUAUAAAUGUAGGAGUAGAAUCUUGUUACAGCACAUUGAGAAGGAUAGCUAAUAGCUCAAGGAACAGAAUCAAAAUUCAAGAUGGCCUUAUCCAGUUGGAGAACUGGGUUAGAACCAACAGAAUCGGCUUCCACUGGGAUCCAUAUAAAGGUCUGCAGUUAGGCAAGUAAAAUCAGGUGUGCAGAUGCAGGAUGGGGAACAUCUGGACUGGGAGCAAUAGGUGCGAAAAAGUAAGACUUGGUUAUUUGGGCAGGCUUUCCCUCCUCCUGUAUCUUAAAUUCACAUGUUAACAUCUUGGAUUUAUUGCAUGUUUAUUGGUUUUACUGUUUUUAAAUUUGUAAUGCCGCCCAGAGUAGACCAUUGGUCUAUAUGGGCGGGGUAUAGAUCUAAUAAAAUAAAUAAAAAAUCAAUAAAAUAAAUGUUU